CCUACGGGAGGCAGCAGUAAGGAAUAUUGGGCAAUGGACGCAAGUCUGACCCAGCCAUGCCGCGUGAAGGAUGAAUGUCCUAUGGAUUGUAAACUUCUUUUAUGCAGGAAAAAUAUCCCGGUCGAGAACCGGGACUGAUGGUACUGUAUGAAUAAGCAUCGGCUAACUCCGUGCCAGCAGCCGCGGUAAU
rnacentral:rRNA from 1 species